GGAAGAUAAACUCAACAGGUUUUCCAGAAUGGCUGAGCUCUUACUUCUUGUCACCAUCCUCAGUUUUGUCGGUUCGAGCGUCCAGCAGUUGCAGUCAUUGAAGGACCCAGAAUUAGUGGCUCUAGGAGGGACGGUCACCCUGUCUUGCACAUACAACAGUGGAAACAUUACUGACAACAACUACCCAUGGUGGAUCCAGCAGAACCCUGGGAGUAAACCUCGCCGGAUGAUGUAUUACACCAGCAUCCGGCCCUGGGAUGUCCCAGCCCGUUUUUCAGGUUCUAGAUCGGGUAACGUGAUGUCCUUGAACAUCACGGGGGUCCAGGCGGAAGACGAAGCCGUGUAUUACUGUGCUGUGUGGACAGAGAGUCCAAGCGUCCAGCAGUUGCAGACCUUGAAGGACUCAGAAUCAGUUGCCCAAGGAGGGACGGUCAUCCUGUCUUGCAGAUAUAACAGUGGAAACAUUGGGGACAGCAACUACCCAUCGUGGGUUCAGCAAAUACCUGGGACUAAACCUCGCAGGAUGAUGUAUCAUACCAGCACACGGCCCUCGGAUGUCCCAGCCCGUUUUUCAGGUUCUAGGUCGGGCAACGUGAUGUCCCUGACCAUUACGGGAGCCCUGGCAGAAGAUGAAGCUGUGUAUUACUGUGCUGUGUGGACAGGGAAUGGAUACCACAGUUGUUGA